UGGGACUCAAUCUCAUGAUCUGAGCCAAAAUCAAGACUCAGAUGCUUAACCAACUGAACCACCCAGGUGCCCCAGAAGCAUACUUUAAUUUUCAAAGUUUAAGAUCUCAUGACUGCUCAUUUUAAUACUGGGCAACCAUAGAAGUCUAAUUCUACCUCUGAAGGACAAAUAGAAAUGAACAAUAUUAAUAUCAAAUUAUAUCAGUAAAGACAAGUAAUCACUGGCUUCAUGCAAAUGUGCAUAAAAUAUUUACUUUAGCUCAAGUAUCAAAUUCUCUCAAGGGAACAUCUGACCUUUCUCAGCGCUAAGGUUGGCCAUUUUGGUAUCAACAUUACAUAGACUUUAGAUUUUAGCACCACAGUCUUAUAGACAGAACCAGCUACAUAAUUUGUAGAAUCCAGUGCAAAAUGAAAAUGGAAGGUUCCUUGUUCAAAAAUGACUAAGACUUUCAAGAUAACAACAACAGAGUAUUAAAUAUGCCUUUUGCUACUGCACAGAUCACAUACCUAUACAUAGCCUGCUCAUAGAUGAUCCAGAAUUAACAUUGGAUUAACAGAACCAGAAUCAAUCGUGAACAUUAAACCAGUGCUUUCCAAGAACUUUCCAUCCAUUAACUCCUUUAAUCCUCAGAACAGCUUUAGGGGGGAAAUGCAAUUAUUCUCCCUAUAAGAGGGCAAAUAGAGGUACAGGCAAGUGAAGGGUCCUGCUCAUGGAUACACAGACAUGAGGCAGGGCCAGGGCCAGCACUGAGGCAGACCAGAUCCGGGUUCUAUACUGCUUCUAGUAUCCAUUUUCCAGAACUGAGUCUGGAAAUUACACGAAUAGAUUUCCACUCUGCAGUCUUAACUUUCUUCUCUGCUAAGAUUAACUCUGGGCUUGCAUGACUCUGAAGUAGUCACAGCUCCAGGGACCUGCCAUGACUAGGGUCUUUUGCAUGUGUGUCACUGGGUGUAUGUGGACAAAGUGACUGUAAGUGCAGGGAGCUGGGAUUUGUUUCCCCAGACACCCUACAUGUUACUGACACCCACUAGUGGAAGCCUCCUGAUACCUGACGACCAAGGCUUUGUGUAAAAACAAUGCCUCCUGACCACAACUCAUUCACCUUAAGGGCAGAGCAUGCUAUGGUGACACUCCUAGGAGAGUUGAGGUAGGUCUGCUGGUGCACCUGGAAGGACAAGGCAGAGGUAGGAUGGGUAUGGGAUGGUAGAUACCAAGACCAAGUUUAGCUUUCUUUGGCUACUACUCUUAACCAUUAUUUUUCUUCUCACUGAAGAAUAACUCAUGGCCCACACCAUGACUUGCCAUCCACAACAUUAUAGGCUUUCUCAGGCAAACUCUGCUCCUGUAAAUGGCUUUCAAGGCUGCUCUUUCUCUCUCAACCUGCUGGUUUCUCUCAAAUCCUUUUACCUUCUAAGGUCCUAAUUUCAAGAAAAGUUAUUUUUCUCAGAAAGAACAAGAGUCACCAACAGUUGCCACUGAAACAGACAUGAGGGAACAGUCAGCCCAGUGCACCCACUCUGUAGAUGGGGAAACCAGUGACACAAACUGGGGUCUACUCUCACAGGCAUAGGUGAGGCCACACGAGCAGACCCCAGAUAUUUACAGCCCACAGAGGCCCCAGGAUGUCCCUUCUCCCUACAGAGCUACAUCACACCAAGUCAGCGGACACUGCAGGGCAUGUCUAGACUCUCUUCAUUGGAUUUCCCAUUAAAGAGAUGCUGAGACAGUUUUUUUCUCUGGAAAUAAAUACCUAUAUCGUAUAGCAAAAAUAUAUAGCAAAGGGGCCGGAAAAAUCCACUGUGCACAUAUAAAAAAAAGUUAUAAAUAAACAGGAUGGUCAGAAAGCAGAUUAAACUUCCAAGGUGAAAAUAGGAAGUAGAAGAUAAAAGAGCUGACCUACUCAGAACUAUUGCUCCUGCUCAAUGAUGUCCUCCUGCCCUGGCUACGCAGCACUCAAACUCAGAGAAGUAUGGACUCUGAGAACCAAGAAAGAUCUUCGAGGUCAGAGACGGUCUGGGCCAACUUCUCACCUUGGGGACGAUGCAAACUGAGGCUCAGAGAAAUGAGGACACUUGUCCGAGGUCACACAACUCAAGUCUGUUAAUCAACCCGAGGCUAUUCUUUUAGCCAUUGAAGAAACUGCAAUGGAUGGGUUAUUUGGUCUCAGGCAAAGAAAACUUAUUAUCUAAUAGUUGGAUAUCUUUUCUGGGUGGUACGAAAAUCUCAAACACAUCACCUAGUAGGGAAAUGUAAUCACAGUUUUUAAUUAACAUAAAGUCUCUGCGACAUUUUUUUUUGUUGUUGUUAUAUUACUUCCAUACAGUGUAAAUCAAUUAACUGAAACGGGCUAGUGGGUACAGAGAGUGGCGGUCAGUCACUGGACAGAUAAUUGCUCUGUUGCUGAGAUUAACACCUUAUCAUGCUAUUAGGACUGCUUAUGAAUCUUGUAGUCCUGACAAAGCCUACAAUUUAGAGACUAUCCAUUCCAGCUGUCUCCAUUUCUGUGGCCUCCUACACGCAAACAAUUGUUGCACUAAGUGCUGCAUUUAAUUAAAGGCCCUUCCCAUGUCAUGGCUAUAGUCACAGAAAAGACAAGAGACCUCGUUUGUUUAAAGCACACACACACACACACACACACACACUCUUCUUGCUGGUGAUUAGUUAGCUUUAAAGCAAUCAGGAUUGAAGUCUGGGAGGCCACCAAUGAAGGGUAAGAUAUUGAUGACUCUUGAGUUGGAAAUUGCAAAGUGCACGCUACCUCUCCUUUUAUGACUUAAUGUAGAGUCACAAACAAGAACCAGGACCCUGGGCCUUUUCUCACUUUCAAGGGUCAUUUCCUCCCAACUUGGAGUUCUCUGCCACUCCCGAGAAGUCUGACGAAGCAUCUCACUUGCAUUGUCUUUAACUCUUAGAUUCUGAUGCAGGAGGCCCCAAGUCCAUGACAGAUGAUACAGGUCCAAGUACAGAAAACCUGGACCGAAGGCCUUCAGAUUGAUUGUAUUAUCCAAGUAAAAAGAGAAACCCAUCUACAAUGUGGCUUUGCUUCUAUUUUAACAAAGGGAAGCUUUUCCUGGGGCAAUCCUUCCUGGAAUAGGAGACAACCAAAAAAAAAAAAAAAAAAUCAAACAGGCAACAAAUAAUUUUACCAUU
rnacentral:lncRNA from 1 species